CAACGCCGCGUGGAGGAUGACACAUUUCGGUGCGUAAACUCCUUUUAUAUAAGAAGAAAAUGACGGUAUUAUAUGAAUAAGCACCGGCUAACUCCGUGCCAGCAGCCGCGGUAAUACGGGGGGUGCAAGCGUUACUCGGAAUCACUGGGCGUAAAGCGCAUGUAGGCGGAUUAUUAAGUUGGAAGUGAAAUCCUAUGGCUUAACCAUAGAACUGCUUCCAAAACUGGUAAUCUAGAAUAUGGGAGAGGUAGAUGGAAUUUCUGGUGUAGGGGUAAAAUCCGUAGAGAUCAGAAGGAAUACCGAUUGCGAAGGCGAUCUACUGGAACAUUAUUGACGCUGAGAUGCGAAAGCGUGGGGAGCAAACAGGAUUAGAUACCCUGGUAGUCCACGCCCUAAACGAUGCAUACUAGUUGUUGCGAUGCUAGACAUUGCAGUAAUGCAGUUAACACAUUAAGUAUGCCGCCUGGGGAGUACGGUCGCAAGAUUAAAACUCAAAGGAAUAGACGGGGACCCGCACAAGCGGUGGAGCAUGUGGUUUAAUUCGACGAUACGCGAAGAACCUUACCUGGCCUUGACAUACCAAGAACUUUCCAGAGAUGGAUUGGUGCCUGCUUGCAGGAACUUGGAUACAGGUGCUGCACGGCUGUCGUCAGCUCGUGUCGUGAGAUGUUGGGUUAAGUCCCGCAACGAGCGCAACCCU
rnacentral:rRNA from 1 species